rnacentral:rRNA from 1 species
UACACUCCUGCGGGAGGCAGCAGUGGGGAAUAUUGGACAAUGGGCGCAAGCCUGAUCCAGCCAUGCCGCGUGAGUGAUGAAGGCCCUAGGGUUGUAAAGCUCUUUCACCGGUGAAGAUAAUGACGGUAACCGGAGAAGAAGCCCCGGCUAACUUCGUGCCAGCAGCCGCGGUAAUACGAAGGGGGCUAGCGUUGUUCGGAUUUACUGGGCGUAAAGCGCACGUAGGCGGACUAUUAAGUCAGGGGUGAAAUCCCGGGGCUCAACCCCGGAACUGCCUUUGAUACUGGUAGUCUUGAGUUCGAGGGAGGUGAGUGGAAUUCCGAGUGUAGAGGUGAAAUUCGUAGAUAUUCGGAGGAACACCAGUGGCGAAGGCGGCUCACUGGCUCGAUACUGACGCUGAGGUGCGAAAGCGUGGGGAGCAAACAGGAUUAGAAACCCGGGUAGUCCCA